rnacentral:rRNA from 1 species
UACGAAGGGGGCUAGCGUUGCUCGGAAUCACUGGGCGUAAAGCGCACGUAGGCGGAUCUUUAAGUCAGGGGUGAAAUCCUGGAGCUCAACUCCAGAACUGCCUUUGAUACUGAAGAUCUUGAGUUCGGGAGAGGUGAGUGGAACUGCGAGUGUAGAGGUGAAAUUCGUAGAUAUUCGCAAGAACACCAGUGACGAAGGCGGCUCACUGGCCCGAUAACUGACGCUGAGGCACGAAAGCGCUGGGGAGCAAAGCAGGG